AUGGCCCUGGUUGUCCUGGCACCCCUGGUGGGACUGGCAGACUUUGGUCAUGCCCAAAAGGACUCUGUGCUCCAGUUCCCAGCAGAAAUGACCAUCCAGGUGAGACACAGCACAACUCUGCACUGCAAUUUCUCCACCAGCGAUCUUGAUCCCUACAUCUACUGGUACCAGCAGCGCCAGACCCAGUCCCCUCAGAUGCUGCUGUGGGUGAACAAGUACAAAGCUCGUGUGGAUUCAGGGAGGUUCUCCUCCAAGCUGUCUGCAGAGAACUCCCAGGUGCUUCUGCAUGUGCGGGAUGCGGAGCUCCAGGACAGCGCUGCCUAUUUCUGUGCACUGAGCCCACACGGGUGCCCACAGCUUGCAGCACUGCACGGAAACGUGGAGGGUGCUCUGAGGAGCGGUUUCCUCCCCACCACUGCUUGCAUGUAG